rnacentral:rRNA from 1 species
UACGUAGGUGGCAAGCGUUGUCCGGAAUUAUUGGGCGUAAAGCGCGCGCAGGCGGUUCUUUAAGUCUGAUGUGAAAGCCCACGGCUCAACCGUGGAGGGUCAUUGGAAAUUGGGGAACUUGAGUACAGAAGAGGAAAGCGGAAUUCCACGUGUAGCGGUGAAAUGCGUAGAGAUGUGGAGGAACACCAGGGGCGAAGGCGGCUGUCUGGGCUGUAACUGACGCUGAGGCGCGAAAGCGUGGGGAGCAAACAGG